UGCGCCCUUUGGUAUUCCGAAGGGCAUGCCUGUUUGAGUGUCAUGAAACCUCACUCCACUUGGGUUUUUGCCUGAGUGGUAGUGUAUUGGGUGUUGCCUUGCCAAAGGCUCGCCUUAAAAGAAUAAGCACCUUGGAUGUAAUACGUUUCAUCCUUUCGGGUGGCUAAUAACCCCACAUAACUCAUGAUCUGGCCUCAAAUCAGGUAGGGCUACCCGCUGAACUUAAGCAUAUCAAUAAGCGGAGGAAAAGAAACUAACUAGGAUUCCCUUAGUAACGGCGAGUGAACCGGGAUGAGCUCAAAUUUGAAAUCUGGCGUCUUUCAGGCGUCCGAGUUGUAAUCUAUAGAGGCGUUUUCCGCGCCGGACCGCGUCCAAGUCUCUUGGAGUAGAGUAUCAAAGAGGGUGACAAUCCCGUACUUGACGCGACAACCGGUGCUCUGUGAUACGUUCUCAACGAGUCGAGUUGUUUGGGAAUGCAGCUCUAAAUGGGUGGUAAAUUCCAUCUAAGGCUAAAUAUUGGCGAGAGACCGAUAGCGAACAAGUACCGUGAGGGAAAGAUGAAAAGCACUUUGGAAAGAGAGUUAAACAGCACGUGAAAUUGUUAAAAGGGAAACGAUUGAAGUCAGUCGUGUGAAAGGUAUUCAGCCGUCUCUGGCGGUGUAUUUGCCUUUCACGGGUCAACAUCAGUUUAGUCCGGUAGAAAAAGGCUGGAGGAAGGUGGCACCCUCGGGUGUGU
rnacentral:rRNA from 1 species